GUCGUUGUAGUAUAGUGGUGAGUAUCUUCGCCUGUCACGUGGGAGACCUGGGUUCGAUCCCUGGCAACGGUG
rfam:Ipomoea nil DNA, scaffold: scaffold2701, cultivar: Tokyo-kokei standard.